rnacentral:lncRNA from 1 species
AGCUGUACGCCCUUGGAGAUGGCCUGAAAUUGGCCAAGCUCUGGAAUGAGGGUCUGGGCAUUGCUCCCAGCAUCUGACCUUGGAAGGAAGCAGAAGCAGAGCUGUGGUUUUGGAGAUUUCCCUUCCCCAACGGAGACCCAUUGCAGCCUGUUAUGAAGGACCCAGCACAGGCUUGAUGAGGAGGUCGUGGCCUGUGAUGGCAAGAGUGAGAUGGGGAGAAUGUCCAGGGGGAGAAGUAAGGGCCAGGAGCUUGAAGGAACUGUGAAAUAGAGCUAUUUCGCCUUGAAUGUAUCCAUGUUUGCCUGCUUUAUCCUGGCUCCGUGAGGAAAGUUUGCUCUCAUAAAAAGACCUGAAAAACACACUGAAAUGCAAAUGACUGAGGACAGCUUUCAAAUGGUGCCUCUCAAAGAAGGUAGUUCUUUAUUACAAAUGCAA